AGAUCCCUCUCCCCGCUCUCUAACGUGGAGUCGGCUGAGCACGACUCUCUCGCCCCAGCGCGGGAGGUCUGCGGUCUGCGGGUAUGAGGCGCUCCAGGGGACCUGGCAUCGUCGGCGUGCAAGAGAGGAGCGGACCUGAGACGCAAGGAGAAGCCCUGCCUCUGGAGUCCAGCUCCUUUCCUCUUCUGGUUUUCCUCGGAAGGGGCCAGGAGACACUGGAAGGUCCGGA
rnacentral:lncRNA from 1 species